rnacentral:rRNA from 1 species
AGGGGAGUGAAAUAGAACCUGAACCCGUAUCCGUACAAGCAGUGGGAGCCACUUCGUGUGGUGACUGCGUACCUUUUUUAUAAUGGGUCAUCGACUUGGUCUAUCUAGCAAGCUUAAGCCGUUAGGUGUAGGCGCAGCGAAAGCGAGUCUUAAUAGGGCGAAUGAGUUUGAGGGAUCAGACCCGAAACCGAGUGAUCUAGGUAUGAGCAGGCUGAAGG